AUUGUGAUUUUAAGACGUGAGAAGUUAAAUCGAUGUUUAGUUUUGAUUAUUAAUGCCUGAAGUCAUUCUUACGUCAUCAUUGGUGGUCCUUUACUCGUCAAACGGCUCUGUUGUUGUUGUGGGAGCUCAACUGAGGAGAUUUGCUUUACAAGACGAAGAAAUAAAACAUGAAUGUGACAAACUACUUGACAAGCAAAGACGGAUUUGUAGUUCAGUUAGAGGAGGAAAAUCCUGAUCAUCUGAGACAUCUUUACCUGACUGAAAAAAAACGACCUGUCCUGAUUCUCCACUGCUUAUGAUCCACACAUCCAAGGAUGAUGUACAAAACACGUGAAUGUCCAAGAGAAACAGUACUGAUGCUCAGGAGAAAGGACAGCUUUAUUGACUGAACACAUAGAAGAUAAUGAGAAGAUAAAGGAGGAGCUGAGAGGAUAAAGAGAGUAUCAGCAGCGGCACUAAGAGCAGUAAGAGCAAAACUCCCAGUACAAUCACAACCACUGGAGGAUUGAAGAGAGGAGGAGUUUGUGGAGGAGUCACUGAUCUCCUGUUUGUCUGAGAAACUGAAGGAGAAGCUGAUGUUGUUGUUGUGGCAGGAGUUGUAGACACUGACAAGUCUGUAAAAUAAAAAAAACACACAUAUUCAAGUAAUUAGCUAAAAUUGAAAUGCAUUUAUCUCAGUGUUUUCCUCUCACCUGCACAGAUGAGUCUAACUUGUUCUUUGUGUGAGCAGUCAGUGUGUUUUUUCAGGACAUGAGGACAGUCCCACAGGUGAAUCUCAGUCCCUCUGCACUCGACUCUGUUCAUCCACACAACACCUUCACCAGCACCAAACGCUUCAUUCCCAUCAGCACUCAAUGCUGCUCCACAACCCAGCUGCCUGCAGACCACCUGAGCAUCUCUGAUGUCCCACAGAUCAUCACAGACUGAACCCCACACAGAGUUAUGAUAAACCUCCAGUCUCCCCGAACACAAACCCUUCCCUCCACUCAGUCUGAGAGGAAGAUGAUCUACAUCACACACAUCAAACAACAUUUACAACAACACACUGAAACACAUAGAUUGAACACAGAUUUUUACAAUUUUAUACAGUUUUAUUUAUUACAUAAACAUACUUGAACAUUGUCUCUGAUGAGGAGAUGGUGAAGUAGAACAUGACAGAUUACUCCGAGGAACUUCAUUUAUCACCGUUUCUGAAAUCAUUACAUGAGAAAAUGUCAAUUACGUAAGGAAUAAUUGAUGAUGGACCAUAGUAUUUUCGAAAUAAAUAAUUCAAAGGACCGGAGUCAAUUAUUCUGCUUAUACCACGGUUACCACAAACAUCCUUCUGGUGGUUAUUUUAAGACAUUUGACAGGCCAGGUUUGCGUUUUACAGAAAAAUAAUCAACACCUGUGGAACAUUUCUCAACCAAUCAGAAUAAAGCAUUCAUCAGGCCUGUGGUAUCCACCUUAUAUUUAACGUAAAUGUGGGCGCAGCCAUCUUUUAGCUCCUUUGCGCAUGACUUCCGGUGAGCCACUAAAGCUAAUGGUAGUCCUAUUGCGAGGGACACAAGUGUGCUGUUUUGACUGGCAUUUUAAUGCUUCUUAUGAAAUCCAGGAAGACCGGCAUCAUUUCUGCAGUUAGGGGUUGCCAUAAUAGCUGAUAAAAACGCUGUAAAUCUCUACAAAACAUUUAUUUUGACCAUAAUACACGCACAAGAGCUGAAUGUGUAUGUGGUGCACUUGCACCCAUGAUCUGUAUCCACAUUUAAACCUCAACAGUUGUAACAUUUUAAACCAUCACCUGAAAAGGUUAAAAACACAAAUUCUUGAUCUAUUCCCUGUACAAACACUUGACUGACUUUCCCAUUUCAAAGAUACUGAUAUGCUUCUGUGCUAUUAUAGUUGCGCAUUGAAGACACGUCACUCCUGAGCAACAACACGAAAUGAUUGAAUUUAUUUUCAUAUUAAAUAUCAGGCCACUUCUUAAUUUCAUCCUCUUACUUGGUCAUACAUGGCAGUUGUAGUAAAUAUUUACAAUAACUGUUUAAAUCAGGUUUUAUGUGUGCUCCCACGACCGGCCGGCUAUUAAAAUGAAUGUCUCAAACAAAAAAAGGGAAAUACGUCACAUCACUUACUUCCAUGUUUGAAAAUAAGGUGGAUAAAACCAAUUAUUACACGGCUCUCUGGAAUGCUUGAUUCUGAUUGGUCAGUUGAGACAUUUGCAGGUUCGUUCUUUUCAAAUAAUAACCGCUCCAAAAUAAUAACGCAUAGCCGGACUACUUGCACGAGUAAAAUCGCUCCGCGCCAAUAAAGAUCAAUAAAGAUUACUGUCUGUUUGGCGUCAUCUUGUGACAAACACUCGACAACCACGACAAGACACAGCUUACUGAGACUGAACUUGACAAAAUAGAGCAGGACAGCUACGAAGCCAACACACAAAAAAAUACAGAAUGGGCAUUAAAACUUCUCAAAGACUGGUUAAAGAGAAAAAAAUGGAGACAGACAAGUAUGAAGCAGAGGAUCUUAAUAAGGUAUUACGAUCAUUUUAUGCAUCUGUGCAAAGUUUCGCGGAAGGAUAAAAAUGUUAAUUUAAAACAACUAUGCCAAUAAAAUGUUUCAAAUUCACGUCGCGUCGGGUCCUGAUCACACUGUCGGGGCUUAUUUCCCAAUAACUACCGGCUGCCUCUACAUUAUCCCUUACAUAAAACAUAUCAUUUCAGUAAUAUAAUAUCACAAACCCUAUAGGUUCUAAAUACAUUACACACAAAAUAAUUAGAAAUCUCACAGGACAGUAACUUAAAUUUCAUCUCACCAGAGCAGGUAAUGUUUGCCACUUCAUCUGUACUAUAGUAAUCCUGUCCCCAAGGUGAAGAUGGACACUGCCAUAUAGUGUAGUCAUGCGAUCGACAUUUAAAGAAAUCCAACCAAUUCUGAGACCUCAAUCCAUUUGAAUAAUUGGGUUCACUGGCAGAUCUUCCACAGUUCAGCUCUUGACAGAUCAGACUCGCUGUGUCUCUGUUCAUCUGAUUGUAGCAAACAUUACCCCAGGAUCCAUUGUAGAAAACCUCCACAUUCCCUUCACAGCCUUCAGUUAACCUGAGCUCUUUAAACUCUAGAUUGAAAGAUAUUUGCAUUAAUCUUCAACUUGGAGUUUAGGUACUAAACUCAAAAUAACAUGUUAAAACAUUUUAAAUACUGCAUAUUAAAGAACUGCAGUUCUGUGAUAUAAGCUUCAUAUGUAGAAUUAUAGAAUUAUUUUUUUGACUAAAAAGAAAUGUAAUCCUCUUUAAAAUACAUUCAUUCCAUAACACUCCUUACCUGAGCACACGACUCCUACAUCCUCCUUGUGUUUACAGUCAUGAUCUCCCCAGACCCGUGAAGAGCAGCUCCACAGUGACGUCUCAUUCCCCUCACAGUUCACAUCAUCCAGCCAUAUGGGUCCAGAACCAGGACCAAACCAGGCUGGUACUGGCUGAUUACUGAGAGCCACUCCACACUGCAGCUGUCUGCACACCACAUGAGCGUCUUUAAUAUCCCAGGAGUCAUCACACACUGUACCCCAUGAGCCUUUGUGAAAAACCUCCAGCCUUCCUGCACAAUCUCCACCUGAACCCACCAACCUGAUGGACCUCUGACCUGUGAUUGACAGCUGUUGUCUGGAGCUGCAUUUGAGAGUUUGUGGAGAGCUGCAGUUCCUCAGAUGAUCUUCAGUCCCAGAGCACUGGAAGCCCAUCACACACUCAUAACUGUGUUCAUCACUGGAUGAAGAGGAGUUAGUGAAGUUCAGCACAGAGCCACAGCCCAGCUGUCUGCAGACCACAGAGGAUUCAGUGAGACUCCAGGAGUCCAGCAGAACUCUCCUCCAAACCUGAUGAAUGUAAACUUCCACCUCACCCUCACACUCUCUCUCUCCAGACAACCUCACUCGACCAUCAUGAAGAGACAGAGAGGAAUCUGGAGAAAGGAUUUGACAUUUUCAGAUUGAUUACGAUCACACUACAGUAACUUCAUGUUAAUGACAGAGUGAAGUUCACUCACUAGAACAAAUGACUCCAACAUCUUGUUUAUGAGAGGAUUCAGCUCGACUCCAUGAAGAGAUUGAACAUUCUGAGAGUUUUGUUUCAUUCCCCUGACAAUCAAACACAUCAGCCCAGAUUUCACCAGAUCCCUCUCCAAACCAGUCCACUCCCACAACAGACACAGCAAUCCCACAAUUCAGCUCUCUACAGAGGACAUUGGCAGCUCUCAUAUCCCAGCAUGCAUCACAAACUGUUCUCAACUCAUUAAGGUAUCGAACUUCAACUCGACCAGAGCAGAUAUCAGGACCGUUCACCAGUCUGUGGUCAAAGUAACCUGCACAGAGAUCUCAGAGAGUAGAGCUGCAGCUCGUGUAUUAAAGUUGAGGAGCAUCGCUGAACUGUUGAUACAGAAAAACCAACAAGAGCCCGACUGGAACAAAGUAUUUGAUGUUCAGCAUUGAUAUUUACCAGAACAUCUCAGUCCCACAUCAUUGUCAUGAGAGCAGGUUACUUUAUGUGAAGAAUAUGAACAUAAUCGACUGAGUGAUUCAUUUCCUCUACAUUGAAUCUCUUGUGUCCACACCUGCUCCUCUCCUUUAUCAAAAGUAUCUGCACCCAGCAGCUGUACAGGAACCCCACAGUUCAGCUCUCUACACACAACCUCUGCACCCUGAUCAUCAAACACAGCAUCACACACUGACAUCCAGGUGUUCCCACGAAGCAGCUCGACUCUUCCAGAACAUUGAUGAGGUCCAUCAACAAGUCUUGCAAACCUUCCAUAGUUUAUGAUUUCUGAUUAUAUGGACAAAGUGAACAGAACAUAAGAUUGUUACUGGAUUUGUUAAGAUAAUAUUGGAAACUAAAAGAUCCUUCCAGAAGACAACUAAUCCUCAAUAACAAGUCUGGAAACGUUUUGAUGUGUUCUUAAUGAAAAUAAAUGAAAAAUAAGAAACAUUUAUGAAUGUUUCUUAACACAUUAUAGUGAAGUCACUCUGAUACAUGAAAUAAAUGAUUUUGGAUGAUAUUUUGACUGCAAAUUUAUUGUAUAG